rfam:Daphnia magna strain Xinb3 scaffold02066, whole genome shotgun sequence.
UCUGUUAAGGUUUUUGGCGCUGGCAACACAAGUACCUUCAGCCAAAAAAGGUUGGAAUUGCCCCAUUUGUGCAAUUUACUGUUGGUUCCAUGAUUUUAUUCUAUGCCCUCAAUUAUGGAAAAAUGAGUAAGUACUACACAAAUUGAAU